UGCCCUGUUCAGCAUUCCUUUUCUCCACGCUUUGAGUGACUGCCUAAUUAUUUUCAAGUACAUAUAACAAAAGCGCUCUGUUAGUUUGCAGGAAGAGUUCUCUUCUUUACGCAAUGACCAGAUGUCAAUAAGAAGAGUUCAAUUGUCAAGAAAUGUUCUUCAAGAUGACUGACUUUGGAUGUUGUGGAUAACCGGGAUAUGUAUGCCAUUUUGUUACAACUCCUGGAGAAAAAAAAAGAAGCAUAUCUACAGAAGAUAUUAACAAUUAAGUAGUUGAUCACAGCUCAGCAUCAAUAUCUGAUCAAUAACAUUUCCUGAAUUCCAUCCAAUGUUAUGAGUGUUUUCAGUACAAUGCCAAUCCAAAAAUAUCUUAACCGUUUUCUGCAGGAAACACUGUCAAAGUUAGAAAUUGUUAUUGAGUUAAAACCAGGCUUAAAGUUAGACAUCCUUCUUCUUGACACAAUCUCAAAAUCCAUCCUCAGACUGUAAGUUAUUGACCAAAAAAAUGAAUCCAUCCUUUAAAGAUCUGACCGCCCUGUUAUCAGUAUACAAGUUGCUGAAAAGGGACAAAAUUGUGAAUUUGUGAUUGCAUCAUCGUCAUCUAAAGCCCAUCAGCUGAUGUUAACAUAUUGAUAACUAUCAAACACAAAAUGGAGAUAUAUCCUCAAUUGUGACAAAACACCAUUGUAUCCAAAAAAAAAAAAAAAAAAAUGAAUCCCAUCCUCAGCAAUGAUAGUAUGGAGGAUUAAUGGUAACCAAUACAUAAAUAAUUUUCUAUGCUUUA